UAAAAGGUAAAUAUUGCUAUUAAUAUACGUUGGAAAUAAACCAUUUUGCACGAACGUGCCAUUAACCUCGCAGUAUCUUAACUAUUUACUUACAGUUGUAUAUAAAACUGCACAACAAAUGUUGACUCCCAUUGGAUGUUAAAACUUAAUACCGAAUAAACUAAAAAACAUCAAAAACUGGAAAUAUGUUACUAAAUAUAUACGGUUUUAGUGCCAUAUUCAUAACUAUUUUCAUAGUUGUUUAUCAAGUUGAAGGACUAUGUAAUCCAAUUUGCGACUUGGCGUGUUAUGAUCCACCAAGCAAUUGCACUAGAACAGGAGGUGCCAUCAAAGCAAUGUCUUGCGCAUGUUGUGAUACAUGUGUUUAUACAGUUGGUAAAGGUGAUUCAUGCGGGUAUCAAAGAUCUCUGACUGUAUAUAACGAAUGUGGGUGUAACUUGCAAUGCAAUUCAAAUACUUUGAAAUGUGAAAAAGCAUCGCAGUCGAAAUAAUUUCUACAAAUAUCGAAAAGAAGAAAUAAAAACAAGAUUUUA